AAGGACCUGGCCGGGCAGGAGAGGGAGGAAUCGGAGGCUCUUGCAGGGGGAUCCGGGUUUCCCUCCUGUCCACGGGGAGCAGUGAUCUGGCCC
rnacentral:miRNA from 1 species